GACGAACGCUGGCGGCGCGCCUAACACAUGCAAGUCGAACGGGAUCUUUUAGGAAGCUUGCUUCUUGGCUGAUCUAGUGGCGGACGGGUGAGUAACACGUGAGCAACCUGCCGCGGAGUGGGGGACAACGUCUGGAAACGGACGCUAAUACCGCAUAACAUACCUGGGAGACAUCUCUCGGGUAUCAAAGGAGAAAUCCGCUUUGCGAUGGGCUCGCGCCCGAUUAGAUAGUUGGUGGGGUAACGGCCCACCAAGUCGACGAUCGGUAGCCGGACUGAGAGGUUGAACGGCCACAUUGGGACUGAGACACGGCCCAGACUCCUACGGGAGGCAGCAGUGGGGAAUAUUGCACAAUGGGGGAAACCCUGAUGCAGCGACGCCGCGUGAGUGAAGACGGCCUUCGGGUUGUAAAGCUCUGUUGUGGGGGACGAUAAUGACGGUACCCCAUUAGAAAGCCACGGCUAACUACGUGCCAGCCGCCGCAGUAAAAC
rnacentral:rRNA from 1 species